AACGUAGGUUCCGAGCGUUAUCCGGAUUUACUGGGCGUAAAGCGCGUUCAGGCGGUUUGGCAAGUCGGGCAUGAAAUCUCUCGGCUCAACCGGGAGAGGUUGUCCGAUACUGCUGGACUUGAGGGCAGUAGAGGGUGGUGGAAUUCCGGGUGUAGUGGUGAAAUGCGUAGAUAUCCGGAGGAACACCAGUGGCGAAGGCGGCCACCUGGGCUGUACCUGACGCUCAAACACGAAAGCUAGGGGAGCGAACGGG
rnacentral:rRNA from 1 species